rnacentral:SRP_RNA from 12 species
GCCUGAAAGGUAGCAAGGCUGAUCUGAAUUUGACAGGUGCUG